rnacentral:rRNA from 1 species
AGUGAACGCUGGCGGUAGGCCUAACACAUGCAAGUCGAACGGCCGCACAGUAAGAGCUUGCUCUUACGGGUGGCGAGUGGCGGACGGGUGAGGAAUACAUCGGAAUCUACUUUUUCGUGGGGGAUAACGUAGGGAAACUUACGCUAAUACCGCAUACGACCUACGGGUGAAAGCAGGGGAUCUUCGGACCUUGCGCGAUUGAAUGAGCCGAUGUCGGAUUAGCUAGUUGGCGGGGUAAAGGCCCACCAAGGCGACGAUCCGUAGCUGGUCUGAGAGGAUGAUCAGCCACACUGGAACUGAGACACGGUCCAGACUCCUACGGGAGGCAGCAGUGGGGAAUAUUGGACAAUGGGCGAAAGCCUGAUCCAGCCAUACCGCGUGGGUGAAGAAGGCCUUCGGGUCGUAAAGCCCUUUUGUUGGGAAAGAAAAGCAGCAGGUUAAUACCCCGCUGUUCUGACGGUACCCAAAGAAUAAGCACCGGCUAACUUCGUG